rnacentral:lncRNA from 1 species
GGGGAGGAAACAACAGAAUGUAGGUUUUAUUUGCAAUGAUUUAGAAAUGAAAUUUUGAAUAAGUGAUAAGUCUUUGAGCGAGGGAACGGAUGGAGAGAUAUGGGAAUAAAUGGAAAGAGUUACAAGGCAGAAAAAGGGAGAGGAAUUGGAUGGCCUUCUAGGGGACUAUGGUGUUAAACCGAAAACCUUCUUAAGGAAACAUGGGUUGCUAUUUCUGGUGUGUGGCCAGCUGGUGGCCAGAAAGUGUGUGAAAAUGGUGUACCUCAUCUGCUGUAUUAUUAACAAUUAUGUAUUGCAUUUGUGAGCUGUAUGUUGUGUUAAUAGUUAUAUGUGUGUGAGUGGCCAAAUAUGGGUUAGAUUUCACAUCAUUUCCUUGUCACAUUAUCUACUAAUUUUCUUUACUGUGUAAU